rnacentral:piRNA from 1 species
UAACACUUCCCAGAAUGCACACCAC